AAGGCAUUAGGAGCCUACAUGAAGUCCUAAGAGCCAAUUCUAUCCAUUUUGAAUCGCUUUUGAAUUAGAAAAUUACUCCCAAUCACUUUUCGGGGCCACUUAGGGUUACAAGGGUAAAUCGAUCUUUUUGGACCGUGUAACUCAUUGGAUAGCUUAUACUGUCUUCUAGGACAUAUGUGGUCACUUAUGAUCAUUUAUAAUAAGGCCGCCAAUUUAGGGUUAAAAAGGGCAAAAAUGCUUUGUAGGUAAACGUCGCCAUUCCGGAUUGCAUUGAAUUUUGUUUCAACAUUUUCAAUAAAGGAGUAAACAGCACAAAUUAUUGUGGUUGAUUAUUAAGCUUAUUUUCAUUUAAAAAAAGUUUUUUCGAUUAAAUUUCUAUUUUUGUGGUGUAAUUUUCUAUUUAUUUGGAGAGCCAAAUAUUGUGAAAUUUAUAUUUCAUAUGGUAGGAAAUAAUUUUUAUUAUUUGUUAUAAGAGAAAUUGAAAAAAUGAGUUGAAAGUGAGAAUAUAGAAAAAAUAUAAAUACAGUAUAUUAUUUAAGAUGUUUGAUUUUCUCUUAAAAUAGUGAUAAAGAAUAUAUAUUUUUUCUAUUUCCAAAGUGUCGCCACCUCUCUUUUACUCUCAUUAUUUCCAAGCAUUAGGUUGACGCGUACCUGACGCAGCCGCUAGUAGACGGUAUUUGCGGUCAACAAUCGCAAAACCCUAGAAUGCAUUUUUAAGCCGCAGACACACACCUAAGUUGUUCCGUCUCUCUCUAUAUAUAUAGCGACCCGAAUGAUGGUCGUAAAUCUCUCUCGUGGGGGAAGUGAAGAGCAACUUCAUACCGCUGCAGAGGCAUAGAUCUGAUCAGGGCCGGCCCUGGCCCAAGGCGACCAAGGCGGUCGCCUUGGUCCUCUGAUUUUAGAGGGCCUCAAGGGAUGGAAAAUAAAAAAAAAAAAAAAAAAGUUAGGGCGAGUUUCAGACGACACAAUCUUCUUCGACACUCCGCAGGGCGCAGCCUCCGCUAUCGCCUCAGGUGACAAGGUAUGUUCAUCUUCUCUCUCUCUUCUCUCUCCUUUUGCAUGAAUCGAUCUUUUAUAUAUGUUUCUUUCUUUCGUUCAUCUCAUCAUUUGAUUUGUUCUAACUUUGGUUCGUGUGAUUCGGGCCUUUACCUUUGUUCCAAUAGUGAAAAGUAGCUAGGGUUUUGUGUGUGUCACUGUGUGUGUGAUGGCUAUCAAAAGCUGAAUGAAUAUAUUAUGGUUCUCUUAGUAUUUUAAUAAAUGUGUGCCUUUCUACAUGUGUCUUUCAUGGCGAUCGAGUCCAUAAUCUAUGGCAGGUACUCUUUUUUUCCCUCUCCCUAAGUCCACUCCAAUCUCACAACAGCAGCAACCAUACCCCUAUUCCUCAUAAUUUUUUGCAUUUUCACAUUCAAUCCCGCGAAAAUUAAGGAUCCCUUCUAGUGGGUUGAGGUAAUAAUUAACUUUUUCGAUCUCUAAAUUAUGCUCAUACUUAAAAGUGCCAGAUUAAGGGUUUUUUAUUUUUAUUUUAUUUUUAUAUGAAGAUACAUACCACCAUUAUUGAUGUUAUUUGAAGUUGGCUCAGCUAGAAUUUCAGUUAAUACUGUCAAAGCACUUGCCAUCAGAAUGUACAAACACAUGGAAAUCAAGAGCAGGCUUUAACAAAACAAAAGUUAAUGGUUUUUUCUAUUAAUUUGCACAGGUCUUCUGUAGCAGUGAUCAAUCAAUCACUGCGGGUAAUUGGCUCCCAAAAAAAACACACACAAAGUGUAGUGUAGUUACUAUAAAGAGUGAAAGACAAAACUAUAUAUGAGAGUGGAUGCCACAUAUAAAAGUCCCACUACUUCUUCAGUACUACAAGUUCAGCCUCCUAUAUACAUAUAUAGUCACCUCAUCUCCACAUAUUUUUGUCAUCUGUAAUCAUCAAAUUUUAGUAGCUAUAUAAACAAUGAAUGUAAAAGAAGCUGCAAUUUUCUGUUCUCUUCAUUUUUUGUUUUGUGCCUAUAAAAAUUUCGCACUCUUUAAUUGAUAAAUUUAUUGUUAUUAGUUAGUUUUCUUAUGCACAUUGCACAUGCGCACAAUUAUUUAUUGGUGGUGAUAAAAAUUUAUAGUUAUUAGUUAGUUGUCUUAAGCACACUGCACAGAGUCUUAUGUACGCUAUAGGGGAACAAUUAUUUGUUGGUGGUGAUAAAUUUAUAGUUAUUAGUUAGUUGUCUUAUGCACAAUGCACGGGCACAAUUAUAUUAGCUAUAGAAUUUGAAAAUAUCGUGUUAAAAUAUAGCACUCUUAUAAUUCUUUUUUGCGUGUGAAACUCAAGGGCCUCACAUUUGAAAGUUUGCCUAGGGCCUCUCAAAAUGUUUGAAAUUUCAGGGCCACUGGAUCUGAUGAUCUUUCUUGAUGGCAUAUAUUUAAUCUCCAAAGUUUUAGGGGUUUAGUUUAAACCAAAGGCGGAUCUAGGAUUUCUCAAUGGGGUGGGCUAAAUCAAGUACUUUUGCUUGUCAAAGUUCUUGUUAUGAUUUUUUUUUUUUUUUU